AAAUUGAAGAGUUUGAUCAUGGCUCAGAUUGAACGCUGGCGGCAGGCCUAACACAUGCAAGUCGAACGGUAACAGGAAGAAGCUUGCUUCUUUGCUGACGAGUGGCGGACGGGUGAGUAAUGUCUGGGAAACUGCCUGAUGGAGGGGGAUAACUACUGGAAACGGUAGCUAAUACCGCAUAACGUCGCAAGACCAAAGAGGGGGACCUUCGGGCCUCUUGCCAUCGGAUGUGCCCAGAUGGGAUUAGCUAGUAGGUGGGGUAACGGCUCA
rnacentral:rRNA from 1 species